GGGGCGGCACCGGCGGGCGGGGCGCGGCGGCGGCGGCGGCGGGGGGGGCGGCGGGUGGGUCCCCCCCGCACGGAGCGUGGGCCGGGAGCGGCGGGAGCGGCGGCGGCGGCUCGGCCCCGGUGCCCCCAGGGCCGCCUGCGAGCCGGAGCGCCGAGCAUCCUUCCUGCGGUCACCGGGCGGCACCGGCAGCAGCGCUGACACCGGUGUCAGCAGCGGCACCGGCAGCGGCACCGGCAUCAGCACCGGCAUCAACGCGAGCAUCAGCAUCAACACCAGCAUCGGGAUCAACAGCAUCACCGGCGUCGACACCGGCAGCAGCACCACCACCAGCACCGGUACCGGCUCCGGUAUCGGCAUUGGCACCGGCUCCAGCAGAGCUCAGGUUGGAGCCGGACAGGACCCAGCUGGGGGUCCCCAUCCGCCGGGGGGUCCCUCACUGCCUGUGAGACGUUGGGAGGAGGAACCACCGAGCCAGGGAGCAGAGCAGGACCCUGGGCACGGGGGAGACACAGCACGAGGCCAGGCUGGAGGGUGCCCGGGUUAACAUGACCGAGGUGGAACCCGUGCUGGACUUCGCAUCCUCUGGGAGGACGGGCCGGCGCAAUGCCCUGCCCGACAUCCUGGGCUCUCCAGCCGGUGUCAGCCCCUCCGACCUGCCCCUCAAGCUGGCAGAGAUGUCCCUGAGCGCAGGCAGCGCUCAGGACAUGCAGUCUCCAUCGGCGGAGGUGCCCCCUCCGCAGCCCCCCAGCCCCGAGCUGAAGGACACAUCCUAACCCCGCUCCAGGGGGGCCAUUGCUGACCAGCGGAGGAAGGAGGAGGCUGCGGAGCAUCAGCCCAGCUUCCCUGGCACAGCCGGAGUCCGCUGGGUUCUCCUCGGUGCUGCCAUCGGGCAUCAUCCCCCCGCCAUGGGGCGAGCAUCGCACGGGGACCUGCCGGGAUGAUUCCCAAGGGGCAAUUCCCACCCGGGGCGAGGACUCGAGGGAGGAAUGUGUUUCUCCUGGGACACUGAGCAGAGCCGAGCACAGGGGGUUCUCCGGGGGGUUCCUCCUGGCCGCAGGAGCAGCCUGUGGUGUUUCUAGCUGAGUGUGGUGUUCACUGUGAUGUUUUGGGUACCA
rnacentral:lncRNA from 1 species